rnacentral:tmRNA from 1 species
GGGGAUGAAUUGGAUUCGACGGGGAUUUGGAAGUCGAGGUAGCGAGUAGUUGAGCCUAACAACUUUAAAAGAGGCAACAAAAAUAAAAGAUAACAAUAAUUACAAUUACGCUUUAGCGGCAUAGCUGAAGCUGCACCCUUAGCUUUCCCGCCAAGCUAUGUGAGUGUAUCAACUAAUCUGCGGGGCACUAUAUUUGGCAAAGCUUUGAGCCAAAUAUGGAAUCAAUGAAGCUUAGGCAAUUAAAAUUUUGCCGAUGAAAGCUUAAUUGCCGAAAUUAAACCAUCGGAUGCACUCGGAGAAACCUAGGUGAAAGAGUUUUCGGACGCGGGUUCAACUCCCGCCAUCUCCACCA